rnacentral:tRNA from 1 species
AAUGAAGUGCCUGAAUAAAGGGUUAUCUUGAUAGGAUAAAUAAAGUAAUUAAUUACCUUCAUUA